UCAGAGAUCCAGAUGUGAAUGCAAAAAAGCCAACCAAAGGCUCCAGCCGUAGGACACUCGGACCCAAACAGCCGGUUUUGUUUGUAACUGCCUCCGUUACUGCUUUUGAAAGAGCACCCUUUUUCCUGCUUGGUACAGAAAAAGCACRGCACAUCUCUGCAAGAAAUCAAAGGUGUUGUGGCUGAGCAUCAGGGGAGCCACGGGACACCACGGGAAGACCAUGUCCAGCGUGGCAGGGAAAGGCAGACCGUCUAGAGGGAGAGACGGGGAGCCCCUUCGUGCCAGGUACCACCUGUAAAGGGGGGCA
rnacentral:lncRNA from 1 species